AUUACCCGCUGAGUUUAAGCA
rnacentral:snRNA from 1 species